rnacentral:rRNA from 1 species
AUUGAACGCUGGCGGCAGGCCUAACACAUGCAAGUCGAGCGGAUGAGGGGAGCUUGCUCCCUGAUUUAGCGGCGGACGGGUGAGUAAUGCGUAGGAAGCUGCCCGAUAGAGGGGGAUACCAGUUGGAAACGACUGUUAAUACCGCAUAAUGUCUACGGACCAAAGUGUGGGACCUUCGGGCCACAUGCUAUCGGAUGCGCCUACGUGGGAUUAGCUAGUUGGGGAGGUAAUGGCUCACCAAGGCGACGAUCUCUAGCUGGUUUGAGAGGAUGAUCAGCCACACUGGAACGGAGACACGGUCCAGACUCCUACGGGAGGCAGCAGUGGGGAAUAUUGGACAAUGGGCGCAAGCCUGAUCCAGCCAUGCCGCGUGUGUGAAGAAGGCCUUCGGGUUGUAAAGCACUUUCAGCGAGGAGGAAGGGUGGUGUGUUAAUAGCACAUCAUUUUGACGUUACUCGCAGAAGAAGCACCGGCUAACUCUGUGCCAGCCGCCGCAGUAAGAC